AGAAGUUUAAGCUAACAAAACUAAGAGCCUUCAAAGUCCUAACUAGGAGUGAAACCCUCCUAACUUCUG
rnacentral:tRNA from 1 species